rnacentral:rRNA from 1 species
UACGGAGGGUGCAAGCGUUAUCCGGAAUCACUGGGUUUAAAGGGUGCGUAGGCUGCUACAUAAGUCAGGGGUGAAAGUUUGUCGCUUAACGAUAGAAUUGCCUUUGAUACUGUGCGGCUUGAAAUUAGGUGAGGUUGGCGGAAUGUGACAUGUAGCGGUGAAAUGCGUAGAUAUGUCAUAGAAUACCGAUUGCGAAGGCAGCUGGCUAACCUAAAUUUGACGCUGAGGCACGACAGCGUGGGUAGUAAACAGG